CGUAGGGAGCGAGCGUUGUCCGGAUUCAUUGGGCGUAAAGAGCGCGUAGGCGGCCGUGCAAGUCGGUUGUGAAAUCCCGGGGCUCAACCCCGGGACUGCGUCCGAUACUGCACGGCUCGAGGCAGGUAGGGGAGAGUGGAAUUCCCGGUGUAGCGGUGAAAUGCGCAGAUAUCGGGAGGAACACCGGUGGCGAAGGCGGCUCUCUGGACCUGUCCUGACGCUGAGGCGCGAAAGCUAGGGGAGCGAACAGGAUUAGAUACCCUGGUAGUCCUAGCCGUAAACGUUGGAUGCUAGGUGUGGGCGGAUAUCGACCCCGUCCGUGCCGAAGCUAACGCAUUAAGCACCCCGCCUGGGGAGUACGGCCGCAAGGCUA
rnacentral:rRNA from 1 species